rnacentral:rRNA from 1 species
GGGGGGGGGGGGGGGGGUGGCGGGGGCGUGCGGGUCGAGCGGGCAGACGAGGAGCUUACUCCUCUGACGGUAGCGGCGGACGGGUGAGUAACACGUGGAUAACCUACCUAUAAGACUGGGAUAACUUCGGGAAACCGGAGCUAAUACCGGAUAACAUGUUGACCCGCAUGGUUCAACAGUGAAAGACGGUCUUGCUGUCACUUAUAGAUGGAUCCGCGUCGCAUUAGCUAGUUGGUAAGGUAACGGCUUACCAAGGCAACGAUGCGUAGCCGACCUGAGAGGGUGAUCGGCCACACUGGAACUGAGACACGGUCCAGACUCCUACGGGAGGCAGCAGUAGGGAAUCUUCCGCAAUGGGCGAAAGCCUGACGGAGCAACGCCGCGUGAGUGAAGAAGGUCUUCGGAUCGUAAAACUCUGUUAUUAGGGAAGAACAAAUGUGUAAGUAACUAUGCACGUCUUGACGGUACCUAAUCAGAAAGCCACGGCUAACUACGUG